ensembl:lncRNA
AAUGGAUGCAUUCCUAUACACAAAGAUGUAGGGUCCAUGCUGCUGAAUGGUCUUUUGUGUGUCAUUAUGCAGGACAUUUUAGAAAUGAAAAUUGAAUAUGAAAAACGACACAAUAGACGCCAUUCACCAGUACAGCAGUUAUCUGUGAUUAGGUUCUGGACAUCUGUCCGUGUCUCGGUGCCGGCUCAGACGCUCGUCACGCUACCCUUUGUGGCAUUUGGGCCAAUAAUCAUCAUUGCCUUGGUAUUUUGUACAUUUAAGCCGUAUUGAGACUUCUUUAGAGCCGCACUGGAGUUCAUAUACGGUGUUUUGAGUGCACGUGGCAUGAUUCCCUAAUUUAAAAGGAAACUAACAUGGCAAUACAAAUAAUACAAGUGUGCACUAGUUUUGAAUGUACAAAAUACUUGCAGUGUGCCUUCUGGCUGAUCCCUGUUCGACCCCAUUGCAUACGAUUUGUCUCUCCUGUGCUGUAUCAUCCAUAUUUUAAAGGCGUAAGUCGGUGAUUUGUCCACCUGUUCUCUGCUGGUGAUUUGGACCAUCUCAUAUUUUGUAACUAAAUUGACAAAACAGCCAUCAUACCACAGCAAAUUUUGGGUUGAGCAAAAACUGAUCUACCAAACCGGGCACAGUGGCACACAGACGGAAAAUCUGGGAUCAUUUUAGAGAUUAUAUGUGUCAGGACCCAAACGCCUAUUUUGUUUCGGCUUUUCACCCAUUUCUUCAUCUUCAGCAGCGGAAGCGGCCACAACCACUGUGCUGUUUAAUGGUACGGUGGUUUGACUGGUAAAACCGCUCAUCGAUGCUUCUUGUCUAUUCGGUCUACUGAAAGCAGUGUUGGAGAGAGGAUCGGUGCCUAUUUCUUUUAGUUUCAAUUAGUGCUGACUUUUUAAUAGAUUUUAAUCCUGUAGAAAAACGAAUGAUAUCCAUGUCAUCCACGAGGCCAGGGGGCACAAAUUUAGGCUUCAGCAUGUAACCAAGGGCCCAUAUCCACAAUAUUUACAAAGAAAAAUAAUAGAGCCUGUUUUGUAAAUUGAGCAAAUCCAGUGCGACAAGCAGUGUUUCGCGGUCGGCUUGGUAACACCGUUGUUGUGCCGGGCCGCUGGGUCUCCAGCAGUGGCCGAUCAAUAAGAGCCAGCUAGAGGACUUAGUGACCGAAGAGCGAUGUAUUUUUGUGUAAUCUCGUCCGACACGCUGGCUUUGAAUCUAGGGAAACCUGCGGCUGCAGGUAACAUUGCUGCUGUUAGUGUAAACUUUCCUCGAUCUGAUUGAUGUGCGCUUGAAUAAAUGUGUGAGUUAUGUGAAAGAUUAGCCUGCCAAGUGUACAUUGAUGUACAGUUUUCUAAAAUGUUCAGUGCACAAGGUACUAGCGCAUAGAAGUAAAUGCCAUAGUGAGUCUUUAAAUUCCCCUUUCUCAUAGAAAUUACACUUGUAUAAUUUCGAUGUGUGAUAAUACAUCGCACUACGCUUUUUAUAUGUGCGAUGUUUCACUCGUACCCUGAUUUAAUGAGUAUGC